rnacentral:rRNA from 1 species
AUUGAACGCUGGCGGCAGGCCUAACACAUGCAAGUCGAGCGGAUGAAGGGAGCUUGCUCCUGGAUUCAGCGGCGGACGGGUGAGUAAUGCCUAGGAAUCUGCCUGGUAGUGGGGGAUAACGUCCGGAAACGGGCGCUAAUACCGCAUACGUCCUGAGGGAGAAAGUGGGGGAUCUUCGGACCUCACGCUAUCAGAUGAGCCUAGGUCGGAUUAGCUAGUUGGUGGGGUAAAGGCCUACCAAGGCGACGAUCCGUAACUGGUCUGAGAGGAUGAUCAGUCACACUGGAACUGAGACACGGUCCAGACUACUACGGGAGGCAGCAGUGGGGAAUAUUGGACAAUGGGCGAAAGCCUGAUCCAGCCAUGCCGAGUGUGUGAAGAAGGUCUUCGGAUUGUAAAGCACUUUAAGUUGGGAGGAAGGGCAGUAAGUUAAUACCUUGCUGUUUUGACGUUACCAACAGAAUAAGCACCGGCUAACUUCGUG